GCUGGCGGCGUGCCUAACACAUGCAAGUCGAACGAGAAAGUGGAGCAAUCCAUGAGUAAAGUGGCGACCGGGUGAGUAACACGUGACUAACCUACCUCCGAGUGGGGAAUAACUCCGGGAAACCGGGGCUAAUACCGCAUAACAUCGCAAGAUCAAAGCAGCAAUGCGCUUGGAGAGGGGGUCGCGGCUGAUUAGCUUGUUGGCGGGGUAACGGCCCACCAAGGCGAAGAUCGGUAUCCGGCCUGAGAGGGCGCACGGACACACUGGAACUGAAACACGGUCCAGACUCCUACGGGAGGCAGCAGUGGGGAAUUUUGCGCAAUGGGGGAAACCCUGACGCAGCAACGCCGCGUGGAGGAUGAAGCCCUUUGGGGCGUAAACUCCUUUCGACUCGGAAGAUAAUGACGGUACGAGUGGAAGAAGCACCGGCUAACUCUGUGCCAGCAGCCGCGGUAAUACAGAGGGUGCGAGCGUUGUUCGGAAUUAUUGGGCGUAAAGGGCGCGU
rnacentral:rRNA from 1 species